AAAAAGGUCUGGCCCUCUGACCUCAUUAAAGAGCGUCUCUGAAGAGUCAACGCAGCUCCAAAUUUCCCUAUAGGACCAGCUCAACCUUUUGUUUCUAUUGUAGAUUGGAGAAUGCAAAUGGACCCAAAGCGCGAGUAAAAACUUCAAAGAACCACUCCACUGACUGGAGCUUACCCACUGAGUCCUAAUCUGGGAGGCUGGAAAAUAGUGAGAGGAGAUCUUGUUGGAGCAUCCAGAGGCAGCUGAUGGUUAUUCUUUUCUAAUGGUGAAUUCAUCCAG
rnacentral:lncRNA from 1 species